CUACGGGAGGCUCCAGUGGGGAAUAUUGCACAAUGGGCGCAAGCCUGAUGCAGCAACGCCGCGUGAGGGAUGAAGGCCUUCGGGUUGUAAACCUCUUUUAGCAGGGAAGAAGCGAAAGUGACGGUACCUGCAGAAAAAGCACCGGCUAACUACGUGCCAGCAGCCGCGGUAAUACGUAGGGUGCAAGCGUUGUCCGGAAUUAUUGGGCGUAAAGAGCUCGUAGGCGGUUUGUCACGUCUGCUGUGAAAAUCCAAGGCUCAACCUUGGACUUGCAGUGGGUACGGGCAGGCUAGAGUGCGGUAGGGGAGAGGGGAAUUCCUGGUGUAGCGGUGGAAUGCGCAGAUAUCAGGAGGAACACCAAUGGCGAAGGCACAUCUCUGGGCCGUAACUGACGCUGAGGAGCGAAAGCGUGGGGAGCGAACAGGAUUAGAUACCCCGGUAGUC
rnacentral:rRNA from 1 species